ensembl:lncRNA
GGGACCCACAGAGGCUGGCAGGAGGGCGAGCCCCACGUGAGCCACGGCAGGUUAAAAACCUGAAGGGUGGCCCUGACGGGACAGCGGACUUCACAGCGUGCCACUUGUGCAAUACGAGGUCCUAGGGUAAAACUUUCAAGAUCAAGAGGGGUGUUGGAAGGAGACAGUUACCGCUCAGAUGUGUGCCACUGAACUUGUAUUUGAAUGACUUAGUGAUGCUUAAUGUAAUUGGGCAACUUUUUUAGCACUUUGGAAAGAGUCAUCAAUCUUUCUGGUAAAUUAUAAAAGUUUUCUGAGUGAGAAAAGGUGUGUUUGGAGUUUGUUUGACUUUUUAUAUUAUUAUUAUUGUUAUUAAUAAAGAAAAAUCUACAGCAUUUUUCAGAUUCCACUGAGGUAAUACAUACCCCUGAAUUUGGUUUGCAGUUUGAUACUCAGGGAAGGAUGUAUUCCAUAGAUAUCCUUUCCGCGUAAAACACUAAUGUCUUUGAGAUAGUCACCUGCCAACUAACUUUGAUUCUGUUUUCACUAUGCAUUCUUCAAUGAAAGCUAGCUUAUUUUUCCAUAUAGUGAUACAGUUAGAGUUCUCUGCACUUUCUUCUCUCCUUUUUUUAACUCCUCGUAUUAUGUUCAGAUGAUCAUACUGUCAAGGUUUAUGUACAUUACUGAAAAUUUGUAUUGUAUAAAGCUUUUUGCAUUACAAGGCUGUACAGGGUCAUUUUGACAGUAACUGGUAUAUUCCUUUGCAUCUUAUGUUGCAUUGCAACUAGAAAGAGUGAAGCUGAUAAGAGGGGAGAGCCAAUCCCAGGGCGCUUUGGCAAGAUAGUUACUGCAGUGAGCAACUGGAUUCAGUCACCGUGGGAACCUCCUGAGGAGCCGUGUAAAAGUGUCUCCGGAUUGACAAGUCACAUGAGAGAAGGCAGAAGGGGCCAGAGUGGCCGCAGUCUGUGUCAGUUCCCUCGCACUUCCAGCUUUGCCCGUGAUUUGGAAUGACUGAGAAGUUCCCCACAGCCAGCCACAGAGGCGGCAAAGAAGCCACUGGUGCAGAAUGUAAGAGAUUGUUGGAGAGGUGCUGUCAGCCACACCUGACCGUUACUGCAGCAAAGGCUGGAAAAAAGCAGAUAAGUCUGUGAGAGGCAGAGCCAUAGGUAUCUGAUAAGAUAGUCAUAUUUGGCAUAAACGUUGACAUCCCUUUAUUAGCCUCUAAACCAAUGUUGGCUGUACAUCCAACCUAUUCGGUUAGCUUGUUGACCUUCUCCUUUCCCCCACUGGGAGCUGGGAAGAACUAAGACAGUGUUGGCUUGUGGUGUUUCGGAAGGAAAGAGGUGGGCCUGAGAAGCAGGUAUUAAUAAAGGCUCUCCCACCUGUAUAUCCAGAGAGAAACUAUAAAGUCUCUUUAGAGCCCUCCCUCCUCUGGAUUCCCCUUUUGAUUUCUCUAAUGAGACUGAGUCUUUCUGGGACUUGACUGAGAGGAAGUUGCUUGACAGGGACGUGGGCUGUCCCCCACCUCAGCCUCCUGGACUGGGAAAGCCACUUGAGAGCCACAUAAAGCAGCCACGCCUCAGGCUUCGCGGCCAGCCUCAAGCCCAAGCAAAAAGCAUCCUGGUGGCUCUCACAGGUCCUAACUGAUCACGAAUGCUGGUCCAACGAAGGGGCUGGCAGCCAGAACUCAUCUGAGAAUAAAAGCGCUGCAUUCACCUGGCGUUUUCUUUAUACAUGAACCUCCCAGA